rnacentral:rRNA from 1 species
AAGACUUGCGUCUUCAAGGCUUGGAUGUGAGGGCUUGCUGGCUUCCUUCAGUGGACGGUCUGCUCCCUUUAAAUACAUUAGUGGGAUCUCUUGUGGACCGUCACUUGGUGUGAUAAUUAUCUAUGCCACUUGACUUUGAAACAAACUAAUGGGAACCUGCUUAUAACCGUCCCUUCGGGACAACUUAUUGACAAUUUGACCUCAAAUCAGGUAGGACUACCCGCUGAACUUAAGCAUAUCAAUAAGCGGAGGAAAAGAAACUAACAAGGAUUCCCCUAGUAACUGCGAGUGAAGCGGGAAAAGCUCAAAUUUAAAAUCUGGCGGUUCUUGUAGCCGUCCGAGUUGUAAUU